GUACCGCCACUCUCGGACAGGGAUUACAGGACCUUACAUCGUACGUAGCCUAGUGUAGUUCACGAAAAGNUUCACAAGAGCCGCUCCGUCACACCGUAAGAGGCAGGUGUGAUCUGGGAANNAGAGCGCUGAAGUGGUAAUCCGGGUACUGACUCCUCAACUNCAUUUAGUGAAAGUAGGAAUUCGAUGAAGUAAAUUGUAAUUCGAGACACANGCGAAGCGCUCACUGCUGAUCUACGAUAGUGGAAGGGGGGACAACAGGAUUAGAUCCCUGGUAGCCACGCCGUAACGAUGAAUCCAGUCGUCGGCCAGCAUGCUGUUCGGUCACACACCUAACGGAUUAAGCAUUCCGCGUGGGGAGUACGGUCGCAAGAUUAAAACUCAAAGUCAUUGGCGGGGGCCCGCACAAUCGGUGGAGCAUGUGGUUUUAUUUGAAGCGACGCGCAGAACCUUACCGAACCCUUGACAUGGCAGUGACCGUUCCAGAGAUGGUCCUUUCUCGCAAGAGACACUGCACACAGGUGCUGCAUGGCUGUCGUCAGCUCGUGUCGUGAGAUGUUCGGUUAAGUCCGGCAACGAGCGCAACCCACGCCUUUAGUUGCCAGCAUUCAGUUGGGCACUCUAAAGGAACUGCCGGUGAUAAGCCGGAGGAAGGUGUGGAUGACGUCAAGUCCUCAUGGCCCUUACGGGUUGGGCUACACACGUGCUACAAUGGUGGUGACAAUGGGUUAAUCCCAAAAAGCCAUCUCAGUUCGGAUUGUCGUCUGCAACUCGGCGGCAUGAAGUCGGAAUCGCUAGUAAUCGCGUACACAGCAUGACGCGGUGAAUACGUUCCCGGGCCUUGUACACACCGCCCGUCACACCAUGGGAAUUGGAUCCACCCGAAGGCGGUGCGCCAACCAGCAAUGGAGGCAGCCGACCACGGUGGUACACUGGACUCCUUUUAGUAUAUCUUGAGCGACAACGAGGGGAUGUCAUCGUAGUGGUACCACAUUGUGACACAUGCAUGUGUACGGUGAUA
rnacentral:rRNA from 1 species